rnacentral:lncRNA from 9 species
AGCGCGGGGUCUACUCUACCCAGCCGGCACCGCUCGGUUGGCUGACGCUGAGGUAGCCGGGGAGGUGCGUCCCGUCGGUCCCCCGCCCCAGAGCGGCCGCAGUCCCGGCUCCCGGAGUGGUGGUCCCUGCCCCGUCCAGAGAAUAACAUGGGGAGGCCGAGGAGCCUGCGCUGCGGCGGACGACCAGCCCCGCCGGCGGUCGCUGAGGCUGGGGUAGGACCGGAGGAAGACAGGUGGCGAGACCCUGGGAGGGGUGGGGGAGCCGUUCCCGCCCCCACGGGGGCCAAUCGCCCGUGGAGUCCACACUUGGCCCCUCAUUCCCCACUUUGUCUCGGCGUCUAGCCGGGGGUGAGCAGGGCGGGGCCGGGAGGGGUGGGAAGCAUCCCCCUGGCUCCACCCCUCCAUCCGGGCCGGAUCCUGGGCGGUGACCCUCGGGCUGGGCUAUCCCUCCCAUCCCCACCCGGUUGCUGCCCCGACUCCGAUCCCUGCGACAUCCUCCAUUCCUCGCCGCCUUAGGCCGUUUCGCUGUCCCCGCGAUGGUCACUGUUUUGUCUCUGCCACGCGGUCGUUUUUAAAACCUUUUCCGUGUCGGAGAUCCCUCGGAGACACCCGGGAAGGCCUUGAAAGCUGCCCGCCCUCUGAAGCAUUUACGCGCCAAACUGCGGCCGCGGCGCUUCACAGACUCCUCCCCGCCCAGGUUCCAAUGCCAGUCUUCCAGUGCCAGUGCUGCUUCCCAGCCCACACAUCCCUCUCAUCACUGCUGCAUCCUAAGCUUUUUUUAGGGCCGCUCUCGAAUCAGAGCUACAGCUGCCAGCUUAUAUCACAGCUACAGCAACAUAGGAUCCAAGCUAUGUCUGCGACCUACAAUGCGGCUCACGGCAACGCGGGAUCUCUAACCCACUGAGCAAAGCCAGGGAUCAAAACUACAUCCUCAUGGGUACUAGUCAGAUUCAUUUCCACUACACCACAACAGGAACUCCCUACAUUUGUUUUGUGGUAACAAUUACCUGGUAAAUUUCCAUCUUCCAAUAGAGUUGUGCUACUCUCUUUCACAGUUUUCUUACUGUAUUUUUGAGUAGGUAUUGUGCAUAUAACUUUCAUGGUCCUCAAAAUUAAAUCCUCUGUUAUUAUUAGGAGGUGAAGAGAAGGACCCGGAGAGCUUUAUAGAAUUAGUUCUCAUGGGCUCUUUCCUCCGUUGCUAUAGCAAAAAAAAAAAAAAAAAAAAAAAGUAUUUCCUUAAAAUACAGCAACUCUGUGAAGUCAUGCUUCCUGUGCCUCCAGGUACCUAACCAGGCUCUGAAAAGCUUCUACGUAUAGUUCUCAACUUCCUGAUUUAUUCACACACUGCAGAGACCCAGGCUUUGCCUUACAAAAUAAUAUGAUCCCUUUUAGAAAGUUAUUACUGGUGGUUUCUAAGAUCUACUAUCUCUGAUUAGGCACUUCGUAUCUUUCUCUCUCUUUAGUGUUUAGACCCUAAUCAAUCUCAGUUCUUUCCCAGAAUGUCCUCUUGAAUUCCUACAUAGACUUGCUGCACAGUGCUUAUGGUCUCAGUUGCUGACUACAGCAUUGACUGUAAUUUUGGAGUGUUGGGGUUUUGUUAGUCAGCUGUUUGCUGAAAAUUCAUUUUCUGUGACCUUAUUUUUUUUCUUCUUGUUGUUCUGGAUAGAUUUCAGGAGAAGGAAUGAAAAGUUUCAGAACUUAACAGACUCCCAUGUUCUCAUAGAAUGAUGAUAUAAUUUAUUUUUCUCCCAUGUUCUCAAAAGAAAUGAAAAAAUUCUCUGGAAGUACUAUGAUUAUUGGCUUUAGAUAAUGAACGAGAAUGUUCUAGUUAUCACCAGCCUAAUUCAAGCCAAUUAUAUAGAUUUUUCAUACCUACUAUAACAUUAAGGCUAUGUCUAGAAGAUAAUGUCACAAAGUAAUUUAAUGGAAAAUCAUUUAAGGCCUACAGUUCAGAUAAAUUAAGUUUUAAGCAAAAGAGGUUCUGAAAGAAGUAGAAGCAGCAUUUUAUUUUGAUAUGCUAAAAAAUGAAUUGCUAAUAAAAUGUUUCUCCUGAACCCAGGCAAUUAGAGCAUUAUGUGGGAAUGUUUGAGAGAAUCUUAUUGGAUGUUAUCAUGAUCCAGUGGGAUUAUGGAUGAGGAGAUGUCCCAAGAAUUCUCUCUCUCUCUCUCUCUCUUUUUUUUUUUUUUUGUCUUUUUGUCCUCUUUAGGGCUGCACCCACAGCAUAUGGAGGUUCCCAGGCUAGGGGCUGAAUCAGAGCUGUAGCAACCGGCCUACGCCACAGCAACACCAGAUCCAAGCUGUGUCUUCAACCUACACCACGGCUCAUGGCAAUGCCAGAUCCUUAACCCACUGAGCAAGGUCAGGGAUCGAACCCACACCCUCAAGGUUCCUAAUCAGAUUCGUUUCUGCUGCACCAUGACAGGGACUCCGUCCCAAGAAUUCUGGUGUUGAUCCUGUGGAUUUAAAACUAUGUUCAGCUUACUUUAGGAGAUUAAUACCAUUCCAUCUUGAUAGCCACAAACAGUUUUGCAUUUGUAGAGCAAGCUCCAGCACUACCUGGGAACUACAUCUGCUUUUUGUAUGCCUCACAUUCUGGUGAGAGGAAAACUGUGGUGGAAGCAGCAGUGCUAUGCUGGCUAUGAUGUUACACUCUGAACAGUAUUAGAAUGCAGAUGUUGUUUUAAUAUAAACAAUACUAGUCAUAACCAGACAAUUUAAGAAAGGAGGUGAGAGAAAAGCUGAGCAUUUUUGGUAGUCCCUUGGGUCUAGGCUUGGAGUCUAAUACAUAAUAAGGUCACCCUUAGUGAAACAUCCCCCCACUCUGUGACAGAACCCCAAGAAACAUAGUCUAAAAGUGAGGAUAUGGAAUAGAAUCACUGUUUGGCUCAGAAAUCCUCAAGCAUAGGUUCAGGGCUACUGGCACCCUUAGGGACCUGAAAGAAGGAAAUGAAAUUCCUCUCUGGAAGAACAGAACAUGAUCCAAUGUUUCAAAUUAUUUCCAAAAUUAAUUUUUCAAAUAAAAUGAAUAUUUAAAAAAACAAUGGUAAUGGGAUAAAAGAAGAAUCAAAAAUUAACCAGCACCAACAGAAACAGACUUAAUAACAAACAUAAUCUUUAAACCGCUAUGCUUGUUGUGUUCAUGGGAAAAGAACUGGAAACCAUAAAAAGUGACAUUUAAGAUUUGAAAAAUAACCAAACAGGAAUGACAAAACUAGAAAAUAGAAUAACUAAAAGUCCAAAAACUAUGGGUAAAGUUUAGAGCAGAUUAGGCACAUCUAAAGAGAAUGAAUCACUGGAAGAUAGGUUAAAAGAAACAUCCCAAAUGAGGGAAGGGGAGACGAAAUUAAAAGUAAAAAUAUUGAAGAUAGAGCAGGAGACACGGAGUAUAAAGUGGAAUAGCCUAGGAUAUAUCUAAUUAGAGUCCCAGAAAUAAAUAAGGGAGUAAGAGCCCAGAUGAUAUGUGAAGAGAUAAUGGCUGAAAUUCUCUGAAAAUUUAUUAAAGAUGUUAAUCUAUAAUUUAAGAAGCUCAAUGGAAGUACAAGUAGGAUUUUAAAAAAUAAAAGGGAUUUUACUUUAAGUGAUACUAUAGAAAAUCAAAGGCAGAGAAAAACUUUUAAGAGAAACCAGAAAAAAAAAAAAAAAAAGAAAGACAGAUAACUCUCAAAGAAACUUCGCAUUUUCUGGAAAGAAGGCAAAGAAAUAUUAAUACUGGACCAAAAAGGUAAAGAUUCUUUAGGGUCAAAAGAAUGGGAGAAAAGUGUAUAGUUUCCAAACUACUGAGGGUGAAAUGGAACUAUAAAAAAAGAAAGGAAAAGAGAAGGGUAAAAAGAGCAGAGUAAGCACAACAAUUACAAAACACAAAGGUGAAAGAUUUAUAUAUUUGGGUUUAAAUAUAUUAAAAAUAGUAGUAAUUACAUAACUAUAAAUAGACUAAAUGCCCUAGUUAAAACACAUAUAUUAUCAGGCUAGAUUAAAAAAGAAAACAUAGAAAACCAAGUAUUCCAGACAUCAAGAUACAGAAUGGCUGAAAAUAUAUCAUGCAAAAAUGCUAAGUAAAAGACAGGUGAGGUAACUACAUUGAUAGCAACCAGACAAAAUAGAAUUUAAGGCUAAAAUUUUUACAGAGAUUAAGGUCAAUACGGAAUGUUAAAAUCUUCAGUUCUGGGUUUAUAUAGCAGUUUUUAGUUUGUGUAAAUAAUAGGGUCUUAACAUGUAAAACAAAAAUUAACAGAACUAAAAAAGGGAAAUCUACAAGCUAAAUGGGAUAUUUUAACUUAGUAAUUAACAGAACAAGAAUACAAAACAAGUCUGUAAGGAUACAUAAAAGUGAUUAGCCCAUUUAAUAGUGUCCAGUGGACACAAAUAGAACACUGACCUAAGGGCAGAAUAUAAAGUGUUUUUAAGCACAUACCGAAUAUUUUGAAGACAACCAUAUUCUUGGUUUAAAAGCAAACCACAUUAAAUUUUAGAGUAUUUUGAGAUACCGGACCACCUGUUUAUGUUUGGAAAUUAAGACAUCUAACUAACCUGCAUGAAAAAUAAUCAUGAAGGAAUUCAGAUAAUAUUUUGCCAAGUGGGAUGCAGGCAAAAUAGUAUUCAUAGGGAAACGUAGCUUUUAAUGCACAUAUUGGUAAAGAAAUUAGUAAGAACAGUAAAAUAAAGUAGAAGAAACUAAGAACACUGCAAUAGAAAAAAAUACCAUAGGAACUAUGAACUAAAAUUAAAAUCAGUCCUUUGAAAAGUCUAAUGAAAUUGAUAAAACACCCUGGUGAAAUAGAUCAAGAGAGAAGACAAAUAACUGAUAACAAAAAUGAAAAGGAAGACAGCACUUCAGCUCUUGUAUACAUGAAAAACAUAAGGAAAUAUGAGCAAAUGGAGUUCCCGUUGUGGCACGAAUCCAACUAGGAACCAUGCAUGAGGUUGCAGGUUUGAUCCCUGGCCUUGCUCAGUGGGUUAAGGAUCCAGCGUUGCCAUGAGCUGUGGUGUAGGUCACAGACAUGGCUUGGAUCUGGCAUUGCUGUGCCUGUGGCGUAGGCUGGCAGCUGUAGCUCUGUUUAGACCCUUAGCCUGGGAACCUCCAUAUGCCAUGGGUGCGGGCCCUCUGCCCCCCCCCCCAAAGAAAAUAUUAGGAGCAAAUGAAUAGUAUAAAGGUUUAGAUGAAACAAAGAAUUGGUAUCAAAAUUCCUAGUGGUGAAACAUUAAAAUUCUUUCUUUUGAGACUGGGAACACAACUAGAAUGACUACUGACAACUUCUUUUCAAUAUUAUUCUGAGCCCUAGAUGAGUAGUAGGGCAAGAAAGAAAAGUUUGUGAAUUAGAAAUGAAGGAAGAAAACUCAGUCUUUGCAAAGUACAGUUGACAGUCCAAAUGAAUAUGCA